UACGUAGGGACCAAGCGUUGUUCGGAUUUACUGGGCGUAAAGGGCGCGUAGGCGGCGUGACAAGUCACUUGUGAAAUCUCUGGGCUUAACCCAGAACGGCCAAGUGAAACUGUUGUGCUAGAGUGCAGAAGGGGCAAUCGGAAUUCUCGGUGUAGCGGUGAAAUGCGUAGAUAUCGAGAGGAACACCAGAGGUGAAGACGGGUUGCUGGGCUGACACUGACGCUGAGGCGCGAAAGCCAGGGGAGCAAACGGGG
rnacentral:rRNA from 1 species